CAGCAGCCACGGGAAAACGAAGGGGGCUAGCGUUGCCCGGAAUGACUGGGCGUAAAGGGCGCGUAGGCGGAUUGGUUAGUCAGACGUGAAAUUCCCGGGCUCAACCUGGGGACUGCGUUUGAGACGGCUGAUCUAGAGUUUGGAAGAGGGUCGUGGAAUUCCCAGUGUAGAGGUGAAAUUCGUAGAUAUUGGGAAGAACACCGGUGGCGAAGGCGGCGACCUGGUCCUUGACUGACGCUGAGGCGCGAAAGCGUGGGGAGCAAACAGGAUUAGAUACCCCCGUAGUCCCUGUCUCUUAUAC
rnacentral:rRNA from 1 species